rnacentral:rRNA from 1 species
GUAGCAGGAAGUGCUUGCACUUUGCUGACGAGUGGCGGACGGGUGAGUAAUACUUAGGAACAUGCCUUUGUGUGGGGGAUAACCAUUGGAAACGAUGGCUAAUACCGCAUAAUGUCUUUGGACCAAAGAGGGCUUUCGGGCUCUCGCGCAAAGAGUGGCCUAAGUGAGAUUAGCUUGUUGGUGAGGUAAAGGCUCACCAAGGCGACGAUCUCUAGCUGUUCUGAGAGGAAGAUCAGCCACACUGGGACUGAGACACGGCCCAGACUCCUACGGGAGGCAGCAGUGGGGAAUAUUGCACAAUGGGGGCAACCCUGAUGCAGCCAUGCCGCGUGUGUGAAGAAGGCCUUCGGGUUGUAAAGCACUUUCAGUUGUGAGGAAAGGUUGAUGGUUAAUACCCAUCAGCUGUGACGUUAGCAACAGAAGAAGCACCGGCUAACUCCGUGCCAGCAGCCGCGGUAAUACGGAGGGUGCGAGCGUUAAUCGGAAUUACUGGGCGUAAAGCGCACGCAGGCGGUUAUAUAAGCUAGAUGUGAAAGCCCCGGGCUCAACCUGGGAAUAGCAUUUAGAACUGUAUGACUAGAGUCUUGGAGAGGGGAGUGGAAUUCCAGGUGUAGCGG